UACAGAGGUCUCAACCGUUGUUCGGAUUCAUUGGGCGUAAAGGGUGCGUAGGCGGUCGCGUAAGUCAGGUGUGAAAUCUCAGGGCUCAACCCUGAAACUGCACUUGAUAGUGCGUGGCUCGGGUACUGGAGAGGAGACUGGAAUUUACGGUGUAGCAGUGAAAUGCGUAGAUAUCGUAAGGAAGACCAGUGGCGAAGGCGAGUCUCUGGACAGUUACCGACGCUGAGGCACGAAGGUCAGGGGAGCAAACGGG
rnacentral:rRNA from 1 species